AUUCGCACUACAAUGGUCGGGCGACGCGGUGCGGCCAGUAGAAACGAUUGAAAAAAAAACUGUAAUCGUUAAGAAUAACCUGGAUGUAGAAGUAAUUAUUGACGAGUAGGCAUUUUCCGCCAGUUUGAUGUAAACAGCCACAGAAGAGUGGGAGAUGAGGAAUAGUGAAAAUGAAAAAGCAGCUAGACGAAAAUAUUUAUAAAACGCUAUUGAGAUAGUCCACCGAGGAAGAAAACGUUUGUGGGGUUUAUGCUUUUUCUAGUGGAUAACCAGAUGGUUUUGUCUAUCUACCGCAAUUGAUAAGACCUUUAUUACUCACAUCGCUACCACUCGCAUGUGAAAAGAUUCACUAACUACGAUUACAGCGAGGGAUUGGCAGCCCUGUAGCGCAAGCAAUCGACCAACACGGUUAGUUAGUGAAACCCAGUAAAGAACUGGAUCGACUUCUUAAUAAUCGGGGAGUGUUUAUAGUAUAUAUUGUAUAGCUCCAAAUGACCAUUGGGCACAGAACCGGGAUUUUUUUGUUACGUCAAUUGUUUUGCUUUAAACAUUAUGUUGCAAUUGUUGACAACUUUUUGUUGUGAUGCCGAGUACUUAACGAGGUACUUAAUUUGUCGACAUUUUCUAACAAGGUUAUAAACAAAAUUGCAAAAUGUUUCGGUAAUUACCUGCUAUACGUAAUUAAUUGUUUUAUGAUCGCCUUGAUCGCCUUCGCUUACGUAGGGACAGACACUGUUGUUGUAGUAUUGUUUCCAAAUUGGAGACAUAGGCAAUUAUUAUUAAUUGAUAAGUAUCCCAUUCUGCUUGCAAGCGUUCUUCUAGAUAACUAAAUAACAAGAAUAAUCUUGAUUUCAAUUUUAAUAUAUACGAUGAGUUGCGGAGAACGUAACUCAAAAGGACUCUUGAGCUGAUUUAUACACCAAUAUAUUUUUUGUUUGUAUACAUUUCAGGCUUUCGGUAGCUCCAAACCUAAAAAAAGAAAAGAAAUCUGACAUUUUCAGAGACAUUUUGAACUACUAAGUCAAAAGAUACGCAAUAGUAAGGUCAGCAAUUAAAAAUCUUAGAUUUUUUGAAAAGUUAUUCCAUUAAAACUACUGUAUAACUAAGCCAAGUCAUACUCAAACGAACGCUUGAAACUGGCAGUUCUAUAAUGUGGAACAGAAACUCCAUAAAAAUUACGAAAUUUAGAGUGUCUACAUCAGUCCUGAAAGUUAUUUUUUCUACUCCCGUCUGUAAAAUAUCUAAUUAUCCACCGACCUAGCGUGUGGCAAGCGUCACUUUACCACGUAAAUUUCGUGGCCCACGAAUCCGAGCCACUUCGGACAUUUCCGGGAUUUUACCGCACGGAUUUGGAAGCAAUGGGAUGUUUUCGGAGAUAUUUCCAACGCUCUGAAUUUUGACGUUUGUCAAUUCUGACAGUCGUGUCGUGUUGUUUCACGAAAAUGUACCCAAAAACUAACGGUCGCAGAAAAAGAAUAGUAUGCAACACGUUUGGUAAACUUUUUAACUCACUAAUAUACUAUUUUCUACUACUGUAAAAUACCUCUCAUGAAAUAUAUCUCUCCAAAAUAUAUCUGGAAUUAUAUGCAUGUCUGAAUGCAGAUUGAAAGAUAUAAUGGCAAGUGGAAAUGUUUUCACUUUUUGAUAAAGGAAUUAGAGAAUAUCAGUGUAGUACAAGACUAAUUGCAUACUGCAAAUUAAACAGGGUGACAUUACAUACACUCUAUAGCAUUGCUCGUUUUGCUUAUAUUACAUUUGAUGACGACAAUGGUUAUACCGAUACCAAUAUCUGAGUGUCUGACCGCUUGGGUGUACUAUCGGUCACAAUUUAUUGAGGUCAGACUAAGGUGUGACAAAUGUAACAGAUACAUUGUCCCAAUCGGAAAAUUGUUGUAUCGACAAUGUACUCAACAUAUCAUUAGGCGUGUAAAACCACGCCAUUUAACUAUGUGAACUAAUUCCGUCGUAGAAAACAUUAAAAUUGGACCUGAAAUUGGCCGUUUCAUUUCGUUAAAGCAGUCAUGACGUAACGAACUACAACCGUUUCUAAUAAUGUUUUUAGAAUUUUGUUUUUGUAACAAUUUAAACUGUCGGAGGUAAAAAAGUUUUGCAAAUUUUCAUACUUGUAUACUAUGCAUAAUGUAGAAACCCUACAUUUUUUGUAGGGUUAGUGAAAUAUAAAAAAUAGGUAAGAGGAGAAAAAAAUGAAAAAGUAAGAUUUAAAUUUAAAUCUUUGGUAUAGUGAUUUGAUAAACUUCAAGGUAUUUAGAUUUGGUUGUAUAUUGUUUUCUUUCUUAUUUGUCUUUAAAGUGAUUAGUUUUGGCUUGAAUUGAAAACUAAUUAUUACAAUUAAGAUUUCUAUCUAAAAUACCAUUAUUUGCUAAGUAAAAAUGUAUUCUAUUCUACUUAUUAAACAACGGCAAAGCGCUCGUCGAUUACUCGCCGCAAUGUAACAAAGAAAAAGGCAAUUUUUCAUCGUUGAUUAAAUUUGUUAUGACUGCGACGUGAAGACCACUCAAGCCCGCGUAGGUCGAGGCAUAAAACGACAGAUUGGAUUACGGGAGUUGCAACAGCAGAGGUAUAAACAUAGAUAACAUUUUUGAUAUAAAAUUACCGAAGACAAAAUAACAUCGGUAUCGAAUGAUACUGAAACCGACUGCGCAGAGUGCGUUCACCUUUCGAAUGUAAAUUAAACAGUAUUUGAUACGACUUGACUGUUAAAAAUCUAACCAUGAAUGAAUGGAAGCUUUGUACCAAUGGAACGGUGUUGGUACGGGAGCUUCUGAUACGAAGGUUUUUUUCGUCUGAUCGACGUUUGCCGCGACUGAUAAGAUAAAGCGGGAAAACCCUUUUAAUAUUAUAACUAGCGCACCUUGAGUUUGAUGUAUCGACGUAGCUAGCAAGGUGAGGAGAGGCUGAAUUUUGUCGGAAAUUAAAGCUAUUUAGUCAAAUAGUUAUUUAUUUCCCAACUAUGAGAAAAAACGUUAAUGCGCAAGUGGAGCACAGUUAAUCAAUUAUCAUCAAUGCGAAGCCAAGCAAUUUUUAAACGUGAUUUUCUUCCCGAAAGUGUCUGUGUGACUAGCGGUACAGUAAGCUUUUAUUUCUAUUGAUUAUAUCGAAAUUUUCAUCAUUCAAAAUCAGAUAAAAUGUGUCGUCUCAAUAUAAAACAAAUAGGUUACUGUUUACUAGUCCACAAUUCUACAUUCAUGUGUGAAUUUAGUUUAAUGAAGGUGUUUUAUAAACCCUGCUGUAUCUGAAAGUGGAUGAAAAAUGGAAAAAUGGCUUACAGAUAUACAGAGAUAAAAUUUUUCUACGAACUUGUUGAAUGAUUUGGCAUUAAUCUCUAAAGAAACAGCCUCGUCUUUUUCACUAUUUUUUAGAAGAUGGUAAUUCCGUCAACACCGACAAAGUAUAAUUAUUUUCUAAAUUCUACCCAAAAAAUAUAGAGCUGAUUAAAAUUGAGCGCAAAUUCAUCAUUUCAUUUCCCCUUUCUUUUAGGUAAUUUAACAAAUGAAAAAGUUUAAAAAAUUAGAGUGGUUUAUAUUUUUUAAUAUAUACAUUACAUCACACUUCAA